rnacentral:rRNA from 1 species
AUUUUCUUAGUAGCGGCGAGCGAAAAGAAAUCAGUUCAGCACUAAGUCACUUUGUCUAUAUGGCAAAUGUGAGAUGCAGUGUAUGGAACAUCAAUAUUCUGAUAUGAGAAAUUAAUGAUUUAAGUCCUUCUUAAAUGAGGCCAUUUACCCAUAGAGGGUGCCAGGCCCGUAUAACGUUAAUGAUUAUCAGAUGGUGUUUCCAAAGAGUCGUGUUGCUUGAUAGUGCAGCACUAAGUGGGUGGUAAACUCCAUCUAAAACUAAAUAUAACCAUGAGACCGAUAGUAAACAAGUACCGUGAGGGAAAGUUGAAAAGAACUCUGAAUAGAGAGUUAAAUAGUACGUGAAACUGCUUAGAGGUUAAGCCCGAUGAACCUGAAUAUCCAUUAUGGAAAAUUCAUCAUUAAAGUUAUAGUAUUUAAAUAAUAUUAUAGCGAUAGUGUGCAUUUUUUCCAUAUAAGGACAUUGUAAUCUAUUAGCAUAGAAAAAUUUAUCAUAAAAUACGGCUUAUAGUUUAUUUAAAUUAUUAUGCUUGCAUUUUAACAUAAAAUAAAUGUCGUUCAAUUUGAUAAAGUGUUGAUAGAUUAAUACUAAAUACAAUGCGUUAAUUUUUCGGAAUUAUAUAAAAGCAUAAUUAUUUAUUUUUAUGUUUAUUAUAAGCAUUUGUAUGAUUAACAAUGCGAAAG